rnacentral:lncRNA from 1 species
UGGAAAAAUAGUAAAAGGAGAUUAAUGUAUAUGAAAUAGUUAAGCUAAAAAUUGAAUCAAAUAGCUAAAUUACGAUAACAGCUAUUGCCGCUUUCAACCAGAGGUUUAUUUUAAACCUCUGGAACCAGGGUAAAUAGACACAGUAUAGUUUGCAUUAAUUUUGUUCGCUAACAUUUCAAAAACACUACAACAACGUGCAAUUUGUUUGGUUUCGACACUGUUCUUGCGACGCCAUCUUGCGAAAUGGGGCGAACAUAUCUGAGCAACAAUGCUAUGACCCUAGCGGGAUAAGUCUUCUCAUUGGGACAAGGCAAUGCCCGAAAAAGCGGAUAUAUAAUAGUACAGAACUACAGGUGCAGUGUGGGUUGUAUCGUUAUUAGUGGCAAAGAAAAUAUCCUAUAAAUGUGUAGCUACAUAGCAUGUCGGUGUUACAAUAAAUAUUGAAAAUUAAUGCUGCAGAUAACGAGGUAUAUUUGAUAGGUUGCAAUCAAUCAUAUAG